rnacentral:tRNA from 1 species
UGAGAGGUAGUGUACGGUACACAACAGGUUUUUGACUCCUGUAGAUUAAGGUUCAAUUCCUUUCCUUUCAA